rnacentral:rRNA from 1 species
GACGAACGCUGGCGGCGUGCUUAACACAUGCAAGUCGAACGGAAAGGCCCCUUCGGGGGUACUCGAGUGGCGAACGGGUGAGUAACACGUGAGUAACCUGCCCUUGACUUCGGGAUAACUUCAGGAAACUGGGGCUAAUACCGGAUAGGAAUCCUUGCUGCAUGGUGGGGGUUGGAAAGCUUCGGCGGUUUUGGAUGGACUCGCGGCUUAUCAGCUUGUUGGUGGGGUAGUGGCUUACCAAGGCUUUGACGGGUAGCCGGCCUGAGAGGGCGACCGGCCACAUUGGGACUGGGAUACGGCCCAGAAUCCUACGGGAGGCAGCAGUGGGGAAUAUUGCACAAUGGGCGGAAGCCUGAUGCAGCAACGCCGCGUGCGGGAUGACGGCCUUCGGGUUGUAAACCGCUUUCAGCAGGGGCGAAGCUUGUGGUGACGGUACCUGCAGAAGAAGCACCGGCUAACUACGUG